rnacentral:rRNA from 1 species
AGCGAACGCUGGCGGCAGGCCUAACACAUGCAAGUCAAACGAACUCUUCGGAGUUAGUGGCGGACGGGUGAGUAACACGUGGGAACGUGCCUUUAGGUUCGGAAUAACUCAGGGAAACUUGUGCUAAUACCGAAUGUGCCCUUCGGGGAAGAUUAUCGCCUUUAGAGCGGCCCGCGUCUGAUUAGCUAGUUGGUGAGGUAAAGGCUCACCAAGGCUACGAUCAGUAGCUGGUCUGAGAGGAUGACCAGCCACAUUGGGACUGAGACACGGCCCAAACUCCUACGGGAGGCAGCAGUGGGGAAUCUUGCGCAAUGGGCGAAAGCCUGACGCAGCCAUGCCGCGUGGAUGAUGAAGGUCUUAGGAUUGUAAAAUCCUUUCACCGGUGAAGAUAAUGACUGUAGCCGGAGAAGAAGCCCCGGGCUAACUUCGUGCCAGCAGCCGCGGUAAU